CUCUGGGAAAGGCUGCGGGCAGCAGAGCUUUCCGUGAUCAAAGCCCUUCUGCUCCCUAUCGGCAUUCUGAGAGAGGGCAUCCCCUGCCUAGCAACAAAAGCCCCGAACCCAAAGCCACCAUUCCAUUUCGAAACCCGGGUCUGGGCAUACCUUCUAAAAGGAGGACCUCUGAGUUUCAGAAUGGCGAGCAGCUUGCAGAAAACUAUCCUCCGCAGUAUCCUCCAGAGCCGCUGGAUCUCAGCCUGGAGGUCGAGGCCCUCGCAGGUCCCCGGGCCCUGAGUCCCACCCCUUUCAAGCAAGCUGAAUCGUUUGGUGCCUCCAGUCGAAGAGGUGGACGAAAUGCCCAGAUGUCCCCCUUACGGCAAUCAGGAACGCUCAACUCUUCCCAAAGAGGUUCUGGUCUCACCCGUUCCUCUUCUCCCUCCCGUAGUACCUCCCCGUUCAGACGGGCCGAGUCCAGCUCCUCUCUCAACACGGUUGGCUUUCGUUCUAGCGGAGAUUCACACGGACAAGAUCAGGCAUCGGUCAGCCCGGCACGGAACAGUUACUCUGGAAACCUCAGAUCGUUUGCAAGCACUGCGGGCAAUGUCAGUAGCAUCAAUAAGUCUCUGUCGUACAUGGAUCUGAGAGGCACUUUACGGAAACCCGAGACCAACAGCUCCUUCAUUGGGUCUACAGAGAACCGUGGAAGCUCGUCCCCUUCCAGAUGGAGUUAUGACAGUCCUUCUGUUAGGACAAACGAAACGAAAAUCCCUUCUUAUGAGCGUGGUCAUGACAGACAGGGAUUCUCCUCCUCCUCCUUGAAGAGCCGCUAUGAUUCCAGAAGCCAGUCCCCUGUGGGGAAGCUGGAGACGAAUGGCUCAUCAAGUCAGAUUCAAAAGGGUCGACGAAGUGCGUCUCCAGUCAGAAAGGGCUACGGAACACCAAGCCAAUCGGAUAGAAGAUCCAUGUCUAAUGGAUGGAGUUAUGACAGAAAAAGCCCCUCCCCAUCCAGAAAAAGCUAUGAGAUGCAAAGCCAAGCCACAAAGAAGAAACCAGAGGCAAAGAGCUCCCUUCACAGCUACAAUCGAGACAGCCGACACUCUUCCCCAAGUAGAGGUCAUCACCAAAACCCUGGCCCAUUAUUGCUUCGUAAGUCCAAAACAAGCCAGUCCACAUCAAACUGUGGUCCCAAGAGCUGCAGUCCCUCCCCCUUAGCUCAUAGCCAAUCUCCUCCUCGCAAGUCAGAGAGUGGGCGGAGCCCCUCUGUGUCUACAUUGAGGCGUGAGAUUGCAGACUACGUCCCUCUGAGGAACACUAUGAGUGACAGAACUGGCUCCGCCUCUUACGUAAGAAACACCAUGAGUAGCCAAUCACAGCACGAUUCAAACCCUUCAUCAGGUCGUUGGAGAGGCUCCACCCACUCUCUCCACAGCCAGUCAGUCUCACGUAACUCCUCCCCAUCUCGCCACAGCAGCGAGAAGAAACAAAUCGACUCCUUUACCAAAUCUGCCUCUGUUGCCUGGGAACCGCCACAAGACGGAAACAAGAGGAGCAGCAUGAGGCAGAACCCAGAGGUACAAAGCUCCACGCCCAACAGCCGACGAGCACAGAGCCGACACAGAAGCCCCUCCCCUCCGGUCCAAAGACACACGUCUUCUCAGAGCUCCAUGGACUCCAAGUCAAGUCAUCUCUCGGCCGGGUCAUUGGGUCUCAACCGGGAGGAGUACACCAUGAUGGAUGACCUUCCCAAGGCCAAAACGGUCAUCCAGAGGGAGGGUCCGAGCCACCUAAGGAGGAUGGAGAGCAGACAGAAACAAGAACUUUCCCGCUACAAACCGGCCAGUCACUCCCAGAGCAAAGCUCCUCACUCGGAAUAGGAUAGGUACACUAUCAAGGGUUCACUCGUCCAGCUCCCUACACACACAGGUAAAUAAACAUACACGUCCUGUAACAUUCACAUGAAAAUAUUGAAUAUAAUAGGCUAAAGAUAAGAGAUUCUAUAACUAAACUGAAACUGUUUCUAAAGGCCCAUUCACACCAUGACAUGAUAUCCAUUAUGACGAACUAUAAAUACCAUUCAGUGUUUUAAUAAUAGUUCUAAUUCUGUGAAAACAAGAAAGUCUAC
ensembl:lncRNA